rnacentral:rRNA from 1 species
UACGUAGGUGACAAGCGUUGUCCGGAUUUACUGGGCGUAAAGAGCGCCGCAGGCGGUCGAUCAAGUCGAGUGUGAAAGCCCCCGGCUCAACUGGGGAGGGUCAUUCGAUACUGAUCGACUCGAAGGCAGGAGAGGGUAGUGGAAUUCCCGGUGUAGUGGUGAAAUGCGUAGAUAUCGGGAGGAACACCAGUGGCGAAGGCGACUACCUGGCCUGUUCUUGACGCUGAGGCGCGAAAGCUAGGGGAGCAA